GGCAGAAACAGUCACGAUCACAAGGUAUCUCUGGGUGGAUGUGGACACAGCGGAAAUGGGUGCCGAGAUUCUGCAGAGCACAGGAAAUGAGAGGGCUUUGUUGCCUUGGCAACGGGCAGCCGGGGUCAGCGGCAGAGCACAGCCAUCCUGGGGCUAAUGGUAGCAAACGGGCCAUGUUGUCAGGUCUGAGGUUCUAGAAAGGGAGAACCCAGGGAGGCAACCCUGUACUUUUCCCUGGGCUUCUGUGAGCAUGCGCUUCGGAGGACAGACCCCAAGUGAGGGGAGCUGUUGCAGUUCAGUGUCUCUCCAGAGGGAUGGGGGAGGGGUGACAGCUGCCAGCUGAGUCUCAACCACAGCCUAGCCCUAGCCCCAGUCCAGCUUUCUGUCACCCAGCUGGGGACCUUCCAGCUUAGGCCAGGCAGUAACAGAGCGAGGGAGCUUUGCAUUGCUCCCCCUGGCCCCCACUGCCACCGGGGGCACCCCGUUGUUAAUUCUCCUAUAACCUCUCCUCUGCUACUGCCACAUCUAGCCUAAAGGCUUCUCUGAGGAGACACACCUCAACUGCUAACUAGCUGUGGAAACCUCUCGCUUCCUCCUCACAGGCUGCAGAGAGGACAGGCAUGAUGGGGGCUUAUGAAUAACUCUAAACAGACUCUAAAGUGAGACAGGAACAGAAUUCAGGUUUGUUUUGCCAAGCAUUCCCUCAGUGACUGCAGAAAGGGGCCUCACCCGGACAGUUGCUACAUCUUGGUCUGCAGUAGAUUGGAAGGAGGGGUAGCCGUGGGCACAGUCUGCAUCUGGGCCACGGUCUCCUCCCAGGAAAGGAGCCUACUUCUCUCCACCUGCUCUGAUUUCCUGGUGGAAUUUUUCAGGUCACUUUAAUGAGGUCACACAACGGGGCUGGGUAACCUUUCCCAGGGAUGGCUGUGGCUAUGGUCUUAGGUCCAGUGUGCUGAGACAGAGAGCAGGAGCAGGAGAGACGGCAAGGGCACCCUUACUCAGAGUGUCUGACUGACUUCAUCCCAAGGGGGACCUGCCACUCAAGCUCUCUGGCCUAAAGGGACCACCAGAAACUUCUAUGUGUGCACAUCUGGACUUUCAGACCAGAGAGACACCUUGGAGAAGAAGGCAGGCAGUGGGCAUCCAGGGGACCCAGAGGCCAUAGCAAAGAAGCCAGCUUUCCUGAACAUAUACUCUACUGGGGACUGGGAAACAAGCAUGGCUUCUGUUAUCCUAGUGAAUCCUUAAAGUGGAGAUGGCAAACGUUCCCAUUUCAUAGGUGAGGAAACUGAGACCAGAGAUAGACAACACAUGACCUCUUAUAUUUUUGGUUGUGAGCCUAGCCUUUAAUGACUGAGCCAUCUCUCCAGCACGACAACACAACUCCUAAUUGCCGUUGCGAGUGUCAAACCUACCUCCAUUGAGCCAGCUGUACAUCUAGUAUGUUUGUAGACAGAUGUGGAUGCAGCUACUGAGACCCUACAGAAAAUGCACCUGGGCCUCCUGAGAACCAGAAGUGCCGCCAUCCAAACCCAGAAGGAGUGACAGCACAGCGGGGGAACCAAGCCAGGGUUCCAGGGCUCUAACCUUGACAGCCCAGAUCUUCCUAGAGGAGACUGCCAAUGAAGGCCAAGAAGAACUCACUCAGGACUACAACUGAUGGGGUAAAGGCCUUCCUCUGGGGCGAUGCCAGCCCAGCAUCCACCUGCAGGUGCAGUGCGAAGGGCUCUAUGCAGGCAACCACUGCCUCCUCACCAGACCUCCCAGGCUCCUUUGCCUCUGUUCCGUUGGAUUCCCCUGCCAACGACUUCUCUGGUGAAUGGUCUGGCUAGCCUGCAGUGACUUCAGUCACUCAGGGAUGGUUGUGUACUCAAAUUGUACCCUACAGUGCUUUGUUGUGGUGAUUGUUUUCAGGUGGGAGACAGGGUCCUCCUGUGUAGGCCUGGCUAGCCUAGAACUCGCAACCGUGCUCCCAUUCCUUAACUCCCCAGAUGCUGGGAUUACAGGCAUGCUUCCCCAGACCCGACUUUUACCACAAGAUGCUGAUGGAGAAAGGGCUUUCUGAAUGUAUAUUGGAGGCUCAUAAUCAUGGGGCAUGCAAGGCCUUAGAAACUUAAAUGCUUGGCCAAGCCAGUGCCCUGGAGCUGGGAGGAGGCCUCAGUCUUUCAUGAGAAGAAAAAAAAUCUCUUUGCUCACCACGAGUCAGUGCCCACCUUCCUACACAAAAGCAUCAGGGCAUAGACUGUUGCCAGGUUGGAUUUGAACCCAGGUUCGAGGAAGCUACAAGUUUCUUCUCAAACCUCUGAUAGCCUUAGGCUCCAUACUGUCUGUAAACACGGGAUAGCCCCGUUCCUGACUCAGUGUUGCUUUGUGGCAUCCGUGGAUUUCACCUCUCUAAGCCAUACGCCAGGACCACUAACAGUGACAGAGCACGGGGUCCCUGAGUCUCAGCCUUCCAGCUGUUAGCAGACACUCUAGCUGCAUCCAGCUGCACGGCUCAUCCUUCACCUGGUGACUUAGUUCCCAGGUAGACUCCAACCCCAAUUAGUCUCUGCAGGACAUGGUUCCUCUGGCCAGCCUCUGCCUUUAGCCUGUGGGCAGUUCUGUCCAAGGGAAAAACAAAUCAAAACAAAACAAACCCCCAGCAGAGAUAACCUCUGACCCUGCAGAACUCAGCUCCCCAGGAACAGGGUGGAGAUGUUUGGGGAUACUCCCCUGCAGCUGAUAUUUUUCUCAUCUUGUCAGGCCUGAAGCGACAGGGUGUGGGGAGGGUGUGAAACUGGUUUCCAGUGCCACCCAGUUCAAGAUCCUAAUCAGAGUCCCAUGAGAAGCUGCUGAUAAUCGCUUUGGUCUUCCGGUGGCUGGGGGGGGUAGGGGUGGGAGGGGGCAGACUAUCCCAAAACACUGAUGAAGCGGCCACCCCGCUUUCCGGAGAUUAUUCACAAAGGAAGAUCGUAGAUAGAUGAGCAGAUGAUGGUGCGUGCACGGGAAACAAAGUAAAAGCAUGUGCACAGAGCUCCGGAUGAUAUGGAAAAACCACCUGACCUAACAUAAAAAUAUAAAAUUAUAUGCAGGGCGUGAUCUCAGCAGUGUAGAGCCAACUUUAAACAUGGAGAUGAUGAUGACGUCUGCUUCCUGAGUGGGGGAUUCUGGCUGCUUAAAGAUUUCCUAUUUUUCUUUGAGCUUUACUAAUAAAAAGAAAUCUAAA